GCCCAGAUAGCUCAGCUGGUAGAGCAGAGGACUGAAAAUCCUCGUGUCGGCGGUUCGAUUCCGUCUCUGGGCACCA
rnacentral:tRNA from 5 species